CAUGGGGGGUGGGCGUCCCUCAGCCUGGAUUGUGAGAGGGUGCAGGCCAGGCUGAGGGACCCCAUCGGUGCACC
rnacentral:pre_miRNA from 1 species